UGGGGAAUAUUGCGCAAUGGGCGAAAGCCUGACGCAGCAACGCCGCGUGAGUGAAGAAGGCCUUUGGGUUGUAAAGCUCUUUCGGCCGGGAAGAAGGGUUGGGGUGUUAAUAGUAUCCCAAUUUGAUGGUACCGGAAUAAGAAGCACCGGCUAACUUCGUGCCAGCAGCCGCGGUAAUACGAAGGGUGCAAGCGUUGUUCGGAAUUACUGGGCGUAAAGGGUUUGUAGGCUGGAAGAUAAGUCAAGUGUGAAAUCCCCGAGCUCAACUUGGGACGUGCAUUUGAAACUGUUUUUCUUGAGUAUUGGAGAGGGUGGUGGAAUUGUUGGUGUAGGAGUGACAUCCGUAGAGAUCAGCAGGAACAUCAGAGGCGAAGGCGACCACCUGGCCAAUUACUGACGCUGAGGAACGAAAGCGUGGGGAGCAAACAGG
rnacentral:rRNA from 1 species